AACUAAGCAGCAAAGUAGAACUCAACACCGUUUUUGAUUGACGCUAUGGGGAACACCAUCAGUGCGACCGGCAUCUGAAGCACUUGUAAACACACGCCAAUAAACCAUUGGUAGACAGCACACGUCACACGGAGUGCCAGGGAGUUUAAAGGGGGCACCUGAAUACACAUCAUCAACAAUUUUUGUCUUCAGGAGACGUUUGUUUGUAAGUUGUAAGUUGAGUUGGGGGUGUUCGACUCCUCGAGGAGGCUGGAUGAGGUUAUUAUUAUGCAUUCGUGAGACUGACUGAAAGAGACUGCAGUCAUUGCACUAGCUCACACCAAACAGAAGUAUGUUUCUGAGACUGUCACUUGCUGCUGCACUCAUGACUUAAUUUACAUUCCCACUGAUGCCCAUGACAGAUGCUUUCUUACCAAACCCGCAUACAAGAAUGUGGCUAUGGUGUGUCGUGACAGUGUCUCCUGAGCAGCAACAGGAGCGACAGCUGUGUACACCAUUGACCUGAUGAAGACCUGCAUACAGAAAAAAAAGGUCCAAUGGAUUCUUUGAAGGUGAGCUCAUGUAUAAAUAUAGCUUUGACUGGAUAAAGAAAUGACUCCGUUAUGAAGGCCUCUUUGGCUUCUACAGAGUUAACAUCUGAACUGUCAACUGUUAUUAUAGCUGUUACUAUAGCUGUUACUGUUAGUUUGUUACUAUCAGCUCUCUUAAAAUCAGCUAUGUUACUAUCAUGUCUGAUAUAUUAAGGUUUGUUACUGUCACCUCUGCUACUAUCAUCUUGGUUGCUAUCAGCUCUGUAACUAUCAGUUACAGUCAGCUCUGUUACUGUCAUGUCUGUUAAAACUUUGUCACUAUCCUCUGUCAUAUUUAGGUUUUUACUGUCAUCCUUAUUACUAUCAACUCUUACUGUUUGCUCUGUGACUGUUAGCACUGUUACUCAGUUACUGUAUUAUAUUAGCUGUUCCUGUCAGCUCUGUUAAUAUCAGUUAUACUAUCAGCUGUUAUUUACAGCUCUGUUACCAUCAGCUCUUUUACUAUUAUGUCAUAUCUAGGUUUGUUACUGUCACCACUGUCACUAUCAGCUUUGUUACUAUCCUUUCUGUUAUAAUUAAUUUUGCUACUGUCAACUCUGUUACUAUCAACUCUGUUAGCUCUGUUACUGUCAUGUCUGUUAAAACUUUGUCACUAUCCUCUGUCAUAUUUAGGUUUUUACUGUCAUCAUUAUUACUAUCCACUCUUACUGUUUGCUCUGUGACUGUUAGCACUGUUACUCAGUUACUGUAUAAUAUCAGCUGUUACUGUCAGCUCUGUUAAUAUCAACUCUUUAUCAACUCAAUAUCAACUCUCCUUAUUACUAUCAACUCUUACUGUUUGCUCUGUGACUGUUAGCACUGUUACUCAGUUACUGUAUAAUAUCAGCUGUUACUGUCAGCUCUGUUAAUAUCAGUUAUACUAUCAGCUGUAAUUUACAGCUCUGUUACCAUCAGCUCUUUUACUAUUAUGUCAUAUCUAGGUUUGUUACUGUCACCACUGUCACUAUCAGCUUUGUUACUAUCCUUUCUGUUAUAAUUAAUUUUGCUACUAUCAACUCUGUUAGCUCUAUUACUGUCAUGACGGUUAAAAUCAGCUGUCACUAUCCUGCCUGUUAUAUUUAGGUUUGUUACUGUCAACUCUGUUACUAUCAACUCUAUAACUGUUAACUCUUUUACUUUCAGUUAGACUUUAGGCUCUCCCAUUCACCCCUGUUAGCAUCAGCUAUGUUAAAUUCAGCUUAAUAUCUGUUAUAAUAUCAGAUUUUACUGACAGCUCUGUUACUGUCAGCUAUUCUAGGCUGUUACUGUCAUCACUGUUACCAUCAGUUCUGUUAAAAUCAGCAUUGUUACUAUCAUGUUUGUUAUGUUCAGGUCUGUUACCGUUACCUCUGUUACUAUCAGCGCUGUUACUGUAAGCUCUUUUACUAUCAGUGACGAUAUUGUUUGCUUUGCAACUGUCUUUUACCAUCAGAUUUGUUGCUAUCAGAUCUUUUAACAUCAGUUCCAUUACUGUCAUCUCUGUUAAGAUCAGCUCUGUUACCUCCUUUGUAUCUGUAAUGCCUGUUACUGUCAUGUAUGUUUCUGUCAGCUAAAUUAGAUAAAGAAUGUUACUGUCAGCCCUUUUACUAUCAACUCUGUUAUUAUCAGUUAUACCAUCAGAUGUUACUGUCAAAUCUGUUACUGUCUGGUCUCUUAAAUUCAGCUUUGUCUGUUAUAUUCAGGGUAGUUAAUGUCACCUCUGUUACUGUCAGCUCUGUUUCUGUUAGCUCUGUUACUAUCAGCUUUUUUGCUAUCAAAUCUUUUUAAACCAGUUCCGUUACUGUCACCUCUGUUACCUCUUCUUUAUUAUUUACCUGUAAUGUCUGUUACUAUCUUGUGUGUUACUACCAAUUAUGUUACCAUUAGCUCUGUUAGAUAAGACCUCAAUUAUAAAUAAAAUCUCCAUUUUGAUAAACUA